rnacentral:rRNA from 1 species
UCUGGCUCAGAUUGAACGCUGGCGGCAGGCUUAACACAUGCAAGUCGAGCGGGGAGAUGUAGCUUGCUACAUUUCCUAGCGGCGGACGGGUGAGUAAUGCUUAGGAAUCUGCCUAUUAGUGGGGGACAACAUUCCGAAAGGAAUGCUAAUACCGCAUACGCCCUACGGGGGAAAGCAGGGGAUCUUCGGACCUUGCGCUAAUAGAUGAGCCUAAGUCAGAUUAGCUAGUUGGUGGGGUAAAGGCCUACCAAGGCGACGAUCUGUAGCGGGUCUGAGAGGAUGAUCCGCCACACUGGGACUGAGACACGGCCCAGACUCCUACGGGAGGCAGCAGUGGGGAAUAUUGGACAAUGGGCGCAAGCCUGAUCCAGCCAUGCCGCGUGUGUGAAGAAGGCCUUUUGGUUGUAAAGCACUUUAAGCGAGGAGGAGGCUACUUGGAUUAAUACUCUAGGAUAGUGGACGUUACUCGCAGAAUAAGCACCGGCUAACUCUGUGCCAGCAGCCGCGGUAAUACAGAGGGUGCGAGCGUUAAUCGGAUUUACUGGGCGUAAAGCGUGCGUAGGCGGCUUUUUAAGUCGGAUGUGAAAUCCCUGAGCUUAACUUAGGAAUUGCAUUCGAUACUGGGAAGCUAGAGUAUGGGAGAGGAUGGUAGAAUUCCAGGUGUAGCGGUGAAAUGCGUAGAGAUCUGGAGGAAUACCGAUGGCGAAGGCAGCCAUCUUGGCCUAAUACUGACGCUGAGGUACGAA